CGGGGUUUCGCUGAGCAUUUUC
rnacentral:miRNA from 10 species